CCUACGGGAGGCAGCAGUGAGGAAUAUUGGUCAAUGGCCGGAAGGCUGAACCAGCCAAGCCGCGUGAAGGACGAAGGUGCCAAGCAUUGUAAACUUCUUUUGUCAAGGGACAAAAUCAGGCUCGAGAGCCUGACCGAGGGUACUUUAAGAAAAAGCAUCGGCAAACUCCGUGCCGGCAGCCCCGGUACUACGGGGGAUGCGAGCGUUAUCCGGAUUUCUGGGGGUAAAGGGGUGCCUAGGGGGACUGUUAAGUCAGCGGUAAAAGCCCGGGGCUAAACCCCGGCGGGCAGUUGAAACUGGCUGGCUUGAGAUGUGGAGAGGUAUGCGGAAUGCGCAGUGUAGCGGUGAAAUGCUUAGAUAUUGGGCAGAACUCCGAUUGCGAAGGCAGCAUACCGGCGGCGAUCUGACGCUGAGGCACGAAAGCGUGGGUAUCGAACAGGAUUAGAUACCCUAGUAGUC
rnacentral:rRNA from 1 species